GUUGGGUAGGGGAGCGUUCUGUAAGCCUGUGAAGGUGUGUCGUGAGGCAUGCUGGAGGUAUCAGAAGUGCGAAUGCUGACAUAAGUAACGAUAAAGCGGGUGAAAAGCCCGCUCGCCGGAAGACCAAGGGUUCCUGUCCAACGUUAAUCGGGGCAGGGUGAGUCGACCCCUAAGGCGAGGCCGAAAGGCGUAGUCGAUGGGAAACGGGUUAAUAUUCCCGUACUUGGUGUUACUGCGAAGGGGGGACGGAGAAGGCUAUGUUGGCCGGGCGACGGUUGUCCCGGUUUAAGCGUGUAGGUGUGUGUUCCAGGUAAAUCCGGUUCACUUUAACACUGAGGCGUGACGACGAGGCACUACGGUGCUGAAGCAACAAAUGCCCUGCUUCCAGGAAAAGCCUCUAAGCAUCAGGUAACAUCAAAUCGUACCCCAAACCGACACAGGUGGUCAGGUAGAGAAUACCAAGGCGCUUGAGAGAACUCGGGUGAAGGAACUAGGCAAAAUGGUGCCGUAACUUCGGGAGAAGGCACGCUGACACGUAGGUGAAGUGAUUUACUCAUGGAGCUGAAGUCAGUCGAAGAUACCAGCUGGCUGCAACUGUUUAUUAAAAACACAGCACUGUGCAAACACGAAAGUGGACGUAUACGGUGUGACGCCUGCCCGGUGCCGGAAGGUUAAUUGAUGGGGUCAGCGCAAGCGAAGCUCCUGAUCGAAGCCCCGGUAAACGGCGGCCGUAACUAUAACGGUCCUAAGGUAGCGAAAUUCCUUGUCGGGUAAGUUCCGACCUGCACGAAUGGCGUAAUGAUGGCCAGGCUGUCUCCACCCGAGACUCAGUGAAAUUGAACUCGCUGUGAAGAUGCAGUGUACCCGCGGCAAGACGGAAAGACCCCGUGAACCUUUACUAUAGCUUGACACUGAACAUUGAGCCUUGAUGUGUAGGAUAGGUGGGAGGCUUUGAAGCGUGGACGCCAGUCUGCGUGGAGCCGACCUUGAAAUACCACCCUUUAAUGUUUGAUGUUCUAACGUGGACCCGUAAUCCGGGUUGCGGACAGUGUCUGGUGGGUAGUUUGACUGGGGCGGUCUCCUCCUAAAGAGUAACGGAGGAGCACGAAGGUUGGCUAAUCCUGGUCGGACAUCAGGAGGUUAGUGCAAUGGCAUAAGCCAGCUUGACUGCGAGCGUGACGGCGCGAGCAGGUGCGAAAGCAGGUCAUAGUGAUCCGGUGGUUCUGAAUGGAAGGGCCAUCGCUCAACGGAUAAAAGGUACUCCGGGGAUAACAGGCUGAUACCGCCCAAGAGUUCAUAUCGACGGCGGUGUUUGGCACCUCGAUGUCGGCUCAUCACAUCCUGGGGCUGAAGUAGGUCCCAAGGGUAUGGCUGUUCGCCAUUUAAAGUGGUACGCGAGCUGGGUUUAGAACGUCGUGAGACAGUUCGGUCCCUAUCUGCCGUGGGCGCUGGAGAACUGAGGGGGGCUGCUCCUAGUACGAGAGGACCGGAGUGGACGCAUCACUGGUGUUCGGGUUGUCAUGCCAAUGGCACUGCCCGGUAGCUAAAUGCGGAAGAGAUAAGUGCUGAAAGCAUCUAAGCACGAAACUUGCCCCGAGAUGAGUUCUCCCUGAGACUUAGAGUCUCCUGAAGGAACGUUGAAGACGACGACGUUGAUAGGCCGGGUGUGUAAGCGCAGCGAUGCGUUGAGCUAACCGGUACUAAUGAACCGUGAGGCUUAACCUU
rnacentral:rRNA from 2 species